rnacentral:rRNA from 1 species
AAGAGACAGCAGUCGCCGCGGGAAUACGGAGGGUGCAAGCGUUAAUCGGAAUUACUGGGCGUAAAGCGCACGCAGGCGGUCUGUCAAGUCGGAUGUGAAAUCCCCGGGCUCAACCUGGGAACUGCAUUCGAAACUGGCAGGCUAGAGUCUUGUAGAGGGGGGUAGAAUUCCAGGUGUAGCGGUGAAAUGCGUAGAGAUCUGGAGGAAUACCGGUGGCGAAGGCGGCCCCCUGGACAAAGACUGACGCUCAGGUGCGAAAGCGUGGGGAGCAAACAGGAUUAGAUACCCCUGUAGUCCCUGUCUCUUAUAC